UACGUAGGGACCGAGCGUUGUCCGGAUUCAUUGGGCGUAAAGAGCUCGUAGGCGGCUGUUCAAGUCGAACGGGAAAACUCGGAGCUCAACUCCGAGCCUGCGUUCGAUACUGGACGGCUAGAGUCUGGUAGGGGGAUCUGGAAUUCCUGGUGUAGCGGUGGAAUGCGCAGAUAUCAGGAGGAACACCGGUGGCGAAGGCGGGAUCCUGGGCCAGUACUGACGCUGAGGAGCGAAAGCGUGGGGAGCGAACAGG
rnacentral:rRNA from 1 species